rnacentral:ncRNA from 1 species
AAAUUGAAGAGUUUGAUCAUGGCUCAGAUUGAACGCUGGCGGCAGGCCUAACACAUGCAAGUCGAGCGGCAGCGGGAAGUAGCUUGCUACUUUGCCGGCGAGCGGCGGACGGGUGAGUAAUGCCUGGGGAUCUGCCCAGUCGAGGGGGAUAACUACUGGAAACGGUAGCUAAUACCGCAUACGCCUACGGGGGAAAGCAGGGGACCUUCGGGCCUUUGAGUGAGAACACUUACGACUCCUCGAGUAUCAAGGUACUGAAGGGCCUGGAUGCGGUCCGCAAGCGCCCGGGGAUGUAUAUCGGCGACACGGACGAUGGCUCUGGCCUGCACCACAUGGUGUUCGAAGUGGUCGACAACUCCAUCGAUGAGGCUCUGGCUGGCUACUGCACCGAGAUUCAGGUCAAGAUCCAC